rnacentral:lncRNA from 1 species
CUUUAAGUAGAAAUUAGGAAAUUAUUUAGUUUAUGAACAAAAGUAUUGAGAAACAAUGACCAUUUAACUAGACAUAUCUGAUUUUUGAUUCAAAAUUAUAAAUUUUAAAAACAUUUAUAAAAGUUCAAUUAAAUACCACUUCAUCUGAUCCAUAAUAACUGUCGUAGUUUUAAACUACCUAAUUUAAAUUUUGAAUGGGAGCCAGUACAUGUUUUUAGUUUUAAUCUGUGAAAGUCUGAGGUAAUACUUUGAGCCCAUCCUUCAUUUUCUUACAAGAUUCGCCACUGCACCCUGUCAUGUUGAGCUGGAUCCGCCACUGCCAUAGAGAUGUGUGCAAAAGAGUGGCCACAAGAAGAGAAGAGAGAGCAGCUAGGUUCAAGUCAAGUCAAUGAGUGAGUUGUGUGAGAGGCAUGAAUGAUGUAUCGUUUUCUCUGUAUAUGUAAUAUAUCGUUUCAGUUGAGCAAUAUGUAUGUGUAAUACCUCAUGCCAUGAUUAUCACCCAAAAAAAGAUAAAAAUUAAAUCAAAAUUUGACGCCCAAUCUAGAAACACAAAAAUUAAAAUACUAUAAAAAGUAGCUAGUUCUUGUUUUUUUUCACGCCAGCUAGUUAUAUUGACGGAAUUCAGUCCAUUAACACAAUGAGCUAUUUUUUCCUCAAACACAUAUUUCGUUUUUUUUGCGAGAUAACCACAUAUUACCUUUGGUCCCUAAGUUCUUUAAGAUAAUACAUAUUUUUUUAAAACUGUAGCAACUUCUAAACAGAAAGAAUAC